CCUACGGGCGGCAGCAGUGGGGAAUCUUGCGCAAUGGGCGAAAGCCUGACGCAGCGACGCCGCGUGGGGGAUGAAGGUCUUCGGAUCGUAAACCUCUGUCAGCAGGGAAGAACGGUCACUGUGCUAAUCAGCAGUGAAUUGACGGUACCUGCAAAGGAAGCACCGGCUAACUCCGUGCCAGCAGCCGCGGUAAUACGGAGGGUGCGAGCGUUAUGCGGAAUUACUGGGCGUAAAGCGCUCGUAGGCGGUAUGUCAAGUCAAGGGUGAAAGCCCCGGGCUCAACGUGGGAACUGCCUUUGAAACUGGCAAACUGGAGUGUGUGAGAGGAUAGUGGAACUCCAGGUGUAGGAGUGAAAUCCGUAGAUAUCUGGAGGAACAUCAGUGGCGAAGGCGACUAUCUGGCACAUAACUGACGCUGAGGAGCGAAAGCGUGGGUAGCAAACAGGAUUAGAUACCCGGGUAGUC
rnacentral:rRNA from 1 species